rnacentral:rRNA from 1 species
AUUGAACGCUGGCGGCAUGCCUUACACAUGCAAGUCGAACGGCAGCACGGGUGCUUGCACCUGGUGGCGAGUGGCGAACGGGUGAGUAAUACAUCGGAACAUGUCCUGUAGUGGGGGAUAGCCCGGCGAAAGCCGGAUUAAUACCGCAUACGAUCUACGGAUGAAAGCGGGGGACCUUCGGGCCUCGCGCUAUCGGGUUGGCCGAUGGCUGAUUAGCUAGUUGGGGGGGUAAAGGCCUACCAAGGCGACGAUCAGUAGCUGGUCUGAGAGGACGACCAGCCACACUGGGACUGAGACACGGCCCAGACUCCUACGGGAGGCAGCAGUGGGGAAUUUUGGACAAUGGGCGAAAGCCUGAUCCAGCAAUGCCGCGUGUGUGAAGAAGGCCUUCGGGUUGUAAAGCACUUUUGUCCGGAAAGAAAUCCUUGGCUCUAAUACAGUCGGGGGAUGACGGUACCGGAAGAAUAAGCACCGGCUAACUACGUG